UACGUAGGGUCCGAGCGUUUGUCCGGAAUUAUUGGGCGUAAAGAGCUCGUAGGCGGUUUGUCGCGUCUGCUGUGAAAUCCCGAGGCUCAACCUCGGGGUCUGCAGGUGGGGUACGGGCAGACUGGAGUGCGGUAGGGGGAGAAUGGAAUUCCUGGUGUAGCGGUGGAAUGCGCAGAUAUCAGGAGGAACACCGAUGGCGAAGGCAGUUCUCUGGGCCGUAACUGACGCUGAGGAGCGAAAGCGUGGGGAGCGAACAGG
rnacentral:rRNA from 1 species